AUGGUGACCGCCGAGGCCGCGAUGGCGGUCGUGAGGGCCGCGCGCCCCGUUUUCAUUUCCGCCCACGACGGCAUCGCGUUUGCUGCAAACGCCGCGUUCCUCGCCGACGGAUACUCCAUCUGCGCCGCCGGUCCUGCUGCGCUCAUGGAUCGCCUGCCCGCAGACGAGGUGGAGGUGGGAUUUGAGGGUUGGAACAGUAUGUACAACUGCUAUGCCUUUUUGUACUCCAAGGAGGAGGAGGGCAGGAAGAAGUGCAUCUUAAUGGAAUGUCUAGGGAUUGCUGACUUCCUUGCUAUUAAUGCGCGGGAUCUUGAGGCACAACACAAGAAACCCUGCAAUGUCGACAUAAAUGUGAAGGAUUUCUUCUCUGAAGAACAGAUCAGGAAUUAUAAAGAUUUGCACAAGAAUUUUACGGACUUCAUUAAUAUCCUGAACUUAAGCUUAUUGGCUGAAUUGAAUGGUAAGGAUGCUGCUGCCGCCCAGAAUCCUAAUGUUGAGAGCAGUUCGUCAAUAAACAGUUCUGGAAAUGUUAUGUUCGAAAACCCAAGUACAAGGAUAACUGUACCAGCCAGGCUGAUUUAUCCUCCAGUAGCUCCAGUUGAUCAUGAUGACACCUUCGCUGUUCCUGAUGUUGGCUUCUACCCUCACAGUGGUGGGACAGGUGGUACUAUGCACGUAGGUCCAAAUGAUCCACGCUUCUUUCCUACAAAUCCUUCUACUCCUUUUGGUGACCUUGGGAGUGUUCCGCCCGGUAGACGCUAUGAUCCAAUUGGCCCGCCCGGUGUUCCAGGAUUAGAACCAUCUCGCUUUGUGAGGCAUUCGAGGCAUUCAAGUCCUUCAGGUGGAAGCACUCACCCAGACCUUGAGUUCUUCCAGCAAGGCCCAGACUUCUUCUGA
rnacentral:rRNA from 1 species